CCGCGUGAGUGAUGAAGGCUUUCGGGUCGUAAAACUCUGUUGUUAGGGAAGAACAAGUGCUAGUUGAAUAAGCUGGCACCUUGACGGUACCUAACCAGAAAGCCACGGCUAACUACGUGCCAGCAGCCGCGGUAA
rnacentral:rRNA from 1 species